rnacentral:rRNA from 1 species
UACGUAGGGUGCGAGCGUUGUCCGGAAUUAUUGGGCGUAAAGAGCUCGUAGGCGGUGUGUCACGUCGGCCGUGAAAACCUGCAGCUUAACUGUGGGCGUGCGGUCGAUACGGGCAUCACUGGAGUUCGGCAGGGGAGACUGGAAUUCCUGGUGUAGCGGUGAAAUGCGUAGAUAUCGGGAGGAACACCAGUGGCGAAGGCGACUUCCUGGCCUGUUCUUGACGCUGAGGCGCGAAAGCUAGGGGAGCAAACGGG